CUUUAUAAUUGGUAGAGUCCCAGUCCCAAUGGGACUCUCUCACAGAGUCCUAAUCCAAGUAGGAUACUUCACCAGAGUCACAAUCCAAUUACACUCUUCAGCUAUCAGAUCUGACCAAAUCUUUUAAUGCAUGUAACCCCAUAGAUUUGAACCUAAGCCGAUAGCAUAAAAAUAAUUUUCUAUACCAAUUGAUGUAAUCAUCUAGCAAUGAUGACCCG
rnacentral:lncRNA from 1 species